UUUUUCGUUUUUGUUCUCACUUGUCCUCUCUGAGCUCUCUCCGACUCCGACUCUCCCUCUCUCGCCUCUCGGUCUCUCCGUCUUCUCCUUCUCUUCCCUUCUCUAGUUCUCCCGUCUGGGAGUCUCCGACGUCUGCAGGAGGAACCAGUCGUCCGCGGCCGUGGGGAACUUCAGCCUUCAGCCUUCAAGUUCAUGGUCAGCCGACUGCUCCGCCUUCAGCUCAAGACGCUUUUCCCUCUUCGUCUCCUCGGUCACAUCCGAACGCCUCUCCCUGGUUCGCACGAAAAACCAGAUACACGCUCUGGUCAUCUCUUUUGCAGCGUGAGCUAUGUGGUGCAAAACCUUCUGAACGGGUGUUUUGGGUGCAUUCUUGUCCAUGUCUUCAACUGCUGUGGUUUUGAAGUUCUUGAUGGAAAGAAACAGUGUCAUUGGCAACAUUGUCUGAUGGUCUAAACCAAACAAUAGGUCCAGUUUCAUUGGCAACAUUGUCUGGUGGUGGCCUCGAUGAUGCUGGAGGAGCUGUUCCUUGGGCAAGGGAUCAGGGCCACUUGGUAGAUCUUGUUCAAAAGGAGGUGAAAGUACUUCUGCAGUCUGCGUUGGAGGUUGCACUUUCUGUUGUGCGUGCUAAUCCUAGUGUGGUAGAGGGACUUGGGGCCCAACUUGAAGGUAACAAAGAAUGUGAAUAAAUUUUGGGUACUUUUCAAGUUAUGGAGACAAAACAGGUUGCUGAUGAGUUUCAUGAGGUAACAUCUUAGUUAGUUCAUGCUCUUGGAUGCUUGCCAUUCGAUCAGCUUGAAAUAUCUGAUGAAGUCAAAGAACAGGUGAAGCUUGUUCAUGCACAACUAAGAAGAGCCAAAGAUAGGAGCUAUAGUUUCCCAGACGAAGAACUUGUUAUUGAUCUUCAGACCACGUUAAGUGACUGAAGAUAAUGUCGAGAUGCUCAAGAGGGUUGCACAAAAGUUACAGCUUACAAAUGUAAAUGAAAUUGAGCAGGAAUUUCAAGCUUUGCAGGUUUUCUGGGUCAUGGACUUAAAAGUUAGAUUAUGUAGUACUUGCUUCCAAAUGGUAUGUUAAUCGAGCCUUAAACUAGCUCGAUAAUUAUUCGAGCCUUAA